CAUCAUCACCAUCAUCCUCGACGUUGUUACUAUCAACAGAUUCUCUGUCAUUCAGGUGCAGUUCUCUCAGAUACUGGCAUCAUCAUCAUUGUGAGAGUAUCAAAAUGAAAGCUAAGACCGUCAGCAGCUCCAAGGUCUUGGAUAAAACUGGGACCAGUCUCAUACACCCAGGUGACCAGUUGUAUGUCCUCAGAUCAAUCUCAUCCAGCACACCCUUUGACAUCAGCAGUGCGUUG